rnacentral:rRNA from 1 species
GACGAACGCUGGCGGCGUGCCUAAUACAUGCAAGUUGAGCGAUGAAGCUUGGUGCUUGCUCCAAUUUGAAGAGCAGCGAACGGGUGAGUAACGCGUGGUGAAUCUGCCUUUGAGCGGUUGACAACAUUUGGAAACGAAUGCUAAUACCGCAUAACAACUUUAAACAUAAGUUUUAAGUUUGAAAGAUGCAUUUGCAUCACUCAAAGAUGAUCCCGCCUUGGAUUAGCUAGUUGGUGAGGUAAAGGCUCUCCCAGGCGAUGAUACAUAGCCGACCUGAGAGGGUGAGCGGACACACUGGGACUGAGACACGGCCCAAACAGAUACGGGAGGCAGCAGGAGGGAAGCAUUGGUAAUGGACGAGAGUAUGACCGAGCAAGGCAGGGUGAGUGAAGAAGGUAUUCGGAUCGUAAAACUAUGUUGGUAGAGAAGAAAGUUGGUGAGAGUGGAAAGCUCAUCAAGUGACGGUAACUACCCAGAAAGGGACGGCUAACUACGUG